rfam:Desulfitibacter sp. BRH_c19 BRHa_1000399, whole genome shotgun sequence.
GUAUCUGAAUCCAAGGUUGGUGAUGCUCAAUCAGGCUAUGAAAAGGCUAUGGGUAGCUUAAUGCCAGCAUUGGCAGGUGCUCAAUUAAUCCAUGAUGCAG